GGCUCUGUCUGUCUCUCUCUGUCCUGCAAUCGCUCAUUCUCUCUGAUUUCGCCAUGGAUGGGAGUAAGCAGAGGUUCGACGCUCUCGGAGAAGCAGAGAGGUAAAGAGAAGACGUUGAAGGAGAAGAAGAUGAUGAUGAUGAUAGUGGCGGUGGCGGGAACGAUGUAGAAUUGGAGGAAGUUGAUGAUGAUGACGGUGGCAGUGGUGAAGUUAGGAGCCAACUCGGUGGGUUAGACUGUUCGUUACCACCUCCAAUCAAAGCACAGUUGGGCGGUUCUCAAUUGGAAACCCUAGCCAACUCCGAUCUUCCAUGCGAUUUUGUUGCUUCUUCUCGCCAUUUCUUGGAGGUGCCAGUGGUUUAUGCUCUUCUAUGGCUGCUGGAUUCGGCUGCAUUCAAGGUAUACAGAAUUUGGUGGUGUAGUUCCUUAUAGACCUGUUGAAGACUUGGCAUUUUCAGUUACUAGGUUUAUACAAAAUAAUGUUUCACUCAUGAAUUAUUAUAUGUACCAUGGCGGAACAAAUUUUGGGCGGGCAGUUGCUGGUCUCUUCAUUGCCAUUAGCUACGACUAUGAUGCUCCGAUUGAUGAAUAUGGUAUGAGACCCAAAAACAAAAACAAAAAUACAAAAAAUACAAAGAAAAAAGUGUGUAUACACACGCAUAUAUUGUGAGAUCAUGAGUAAGAUUAUCAUGAAUGUAUAUAUGAUACGAAUAAUUUGUUAUCUUGAAGGAUUACUAAAAGAACCAAAAUGGGGGCAUUUGACAAAUUUGCACAAAGCUAUCAAGCAAUGUGAACCAGUUUUGGUUUCCUCGCAUCCUGCAGUGACUUGGCCUGGCAAUAAUCUAGAGGAACCGUGUACGGGCCGCUAGAGAAUCCAAAACUGACAUAUAGCAGCACUGUGAAGUUGAGAGCCGGAAUUAACAAGAUUUCUUUACUAAGUGUUGCUGUUGGCCUUCCGGUUAGUCCAUACCUUCUGAUAAAAGUUUACAUUCUUGGGAUGUUAAUGACAGUAAUGGAAUCUUUCUAAAUUCUAUUGGAUCGAUUUCAUAAUGUCGGUGUGCAUUAUGAGACAUGGAACACGGGGGUUCUUGGCCCGGUCACACUGAAGGGCCUCAAUGAGGGGACAAGAGACUUGACAAAGCAACAGUGGUCUUACAAGGCGAGAACUUAAAACUGCAAACACUUGAUGGAAGUUCCUCUGUUGAGUGGGCUGAGGGAUCACUAUUGGCUACAAAACAACCCUUGACAUGGUACAAGGUAAUAAUCAUCCCAAAACCCCCGUUAACGCCUUUUUAUUGAUACUUAUGAGUUCCAUUACCCAUAGACGCACAAAUGAAUUCAUAAAAGAAGCUUUUAAUU